rnacentral:rRNA from 1 species
AGUCACUGACAUUAGAUACCCGCGUAGUCCAGGGUGUAAACGCUGCAGACUUGGUGUUGGAAGCCCUUUGGGGGCAUUCAGUGCCGGAGAGAAGUUGUUAAGUCUGCUACUUGGGGAGUGCGUCCGCAAGGAUGAAACUUAAAGGAAUUGGCGGGGGAGCACCGCAACGGGAGGAGCGUGCGGUUUAAUUGGAUUCAACACCGUAAACUCACCAGGGAAGACUGUUACAUGAAGGCCGAGAUGAAGACUCUGCUAGAUUUUCAG